AGGAAUACAGACAUCGGGUUUCAGGGCUCACGCUGCUCGCCGUGGAUUUUCCCUCGAGGAGAAUUAGGGUUCAAGAUUCUGCCGAAAUCGUCACCACUCUCUUCAGGUUGCGAAAACUGCUGAAAGGAUGGGACACAAUGGCAAAAAUGAGAUUAUGGUCCACGAGACUGAGGCAUCUGAAUGCCCGGGUGCUAUGGUUGAGAUAAAGAUAAAGACAUUGGAUUCCCAAACUUACACAUUACGUGUAGAUAAAUGUGUUCCUGUUCCUGCAUUGAAGGAGCAAAUUGCCUCUGUUACUGGGGUUGUGUCGGAACAGCAGCGCUUGAUAUGUCGUGGAAAAGUUUUGAAGGAUGAUCAACUACUAUCAGCUUAUCAUGUUGAAGAUGGUCACACUCUUCAUUUGGUUGUCAGACAACCAAUUCCACCGGAAGGUUCAACUAAUAACAAUCCAGAGGCUGAUCCCGCUUCGAGUGCUGGUGACAACCAGGGUAGUCAAAGAUCGCGAGUAGUGGUGGGAUCCUUCAAUAUUGCUGAGCAAGAUGGAGCCUAUUCAGAUCUUGGUCAGAUUGUUUCAGCUGUUCUUGGUUCACUUGGCAUCGGUAAUGUGGAAAGUGGUAUUGAAGGAGUGGAUACUAUGGGAUCACUGCAUGAGAGAUUGUCACGACAUUCUGGGCCUAGCACUGCAAGAGAUUCCAUGGGGGGGCGUUCUGACACAACAAAUGCCACAAACCAGACUUCUGCACCUACGACGUCUCCACAACCAACGGUAAUUCCAGAUUCUUUAACAACUUUAUCUGAAUAUCUAAAUCGUCUCCGACAACAAUUUGCUGCUAAUGGGGGUAACGCCACCAACUUGCUAGCUUCUGGAAAUUCUAUGGGGGAUGCGCAAGAACCCGGUCUUCCUGGUGGAGAGAGUCGGCUUCCAAGACCAACUGAUCUGGCUGAUGUGCUGCGUUCGACAAGGCAAUUGUUGAUUGGUGAAGUAGCAGAAUGCCUAUCUAAUCUGUCAAGGCAGCUUGAGGAUCAUGUAAAUGUGACAGAUCCAUCUACUCGAAGGUUGUUCCAGUCAAACAUGCUCCAAUCUGGAUUUCUGUUGGAGAAUUUAGGUGCUUCACUUCUUGAGCUUGGUCGCACCACCAUGAUGCUACGUUUGGGGCAAACUCCGGAUGAUGCAGUUGUAAAUGCGGGACCUGCAGUGUUCAUAUCGUCUACAGGGCGAAAUCCCUUACCGGCACACCCCGCUUUACUGGGAGGAGCGAGUAUGGGGGCAUUUCAAGCUGGAAGUGCACAACCUAGUCCAUUUUCUGGUGGAUCACUUGGUUCUGCUGCAAGGAAUAUCGAGAUAAGAAUACGCACAGGAUCGUGGACGCCAUCUUCUGGCUCCCACCAGAGAGAAGAAACUGCUACCCAGCCGACCCAUGGGCGGUCAACUCCUUCAGCACCUGGUUUUACUGAUUUGAUCCCUCCGACAAGAGGGGUAUCUGAAUCUUCUCGGAAUCCUGUGGCAUUAGUCAUACCAGUCCUAGCUAGAUAUCAGCAGGUAUCUUUGGGUGAACGUAGUAGCUCUACGGGAUUAGACGCUAUACAUCAGCCUGCUCCCGAAUCCUCUAGGCCGCAGGGCAACCCUGGAAGAGAAGUUCGAGGUCUGUUGGAGCUUCGGAAUCGGAUUCAGCAGAUCCUUACGCGUCGUGAGCAACAAGAGCAACAAAACCAAGUGGCCAACUCUGAGUCUCAUAAUGCAACCAAUCCCUCUGUCACAGCAGUCUCUACAGAGACAAGCGAGGGUGCACAAGAUGGAGAGGCAGUGGUCACGGAUGAAGGGAACUUCAUAUCAAGUGUGCUUCAACAGAUUAUGCCAUUUAUAUCUCAGAAUGUGGCAUCGAGUUCAGAUGACGCUGCGGGGAGAGACAGCAGCACUAGCAGACAAGUUGCUUCAGCUGAGGGACGAGACUCUGAUGGGGCUUCAAGCCGGAGACCUGAUCCUCCUUCUCCUCCAGAUUCUAAACGUCCUAGGAGAAACUGAUAUUUUUUAUGUACUUGGCGGGUUCCAAUCUGGGGAGCAGAACAAAGAUAUGAUAUGAGAGUGAGAACAGUUGAAACCAAAGUGUAAUCAAUUUGUUUUUUAGCAUAAAAUGUGUCCGACCGUUUGCAUGUCACUAAGCAUCGGAGUUCAUUGGCCGACAGCCCCACAAUUCGGCCUCCCUUUUGCUGCGGCAAAUUCCGGCCGUCAAUGUGAACCGUUUGAUUGUUUUGUCCUUUGGAAAGGAGCUUCCUGGGUGAGUGUCUCUUUCUCUCUGUCUGUCUCUCUCUCUCAUCUUCUGCUUGUUAAAAGCCCAAACGUGCAAAAGGGAUGUUGAUGUAACACCUAUUGUUUUGGAUAGAGCCCGUGGGUUGUAUACUCGUCCUCGGCCGUUUGGAUAUUUUGAUCGAGGUAUCUCGGCAAAGGUGGAUAUCCAACCCCCCAGUAUCCAUGGGGUGGGGAUUCAGGUAUUA